AGUGAACGCUGGCGGUAGGCCUAACACAUGCAAGUCGAACGGCAGCACAGUAAGAGCUUGCUCUUACGGGUGGCGAGUGGCGGACGAGUGAGGAAUACAUCGGAAUCUACUUUUUCGUGGGGGAUAACGUAGGGAAACUUACGCUAAUACCGCAUACGACCUACGGGUGAAAGCAGGGGAUCUUCGGACUUUGCGCGAUUGAAUGAGCCGAUGUCGGAUUAGCUAGUUGGCGGGGUAAAGGCCCACCAAGGCGACGAUCCGUAGCUGGUCUGAGAGGAUGAUCAGCCACACUGGAACUGAGACACGGUCCAGACUCCUACGGGAGGCAGCAGUGGGGAAUAUUGGACAAUGGGCGCAAGCCUGAUCCAGCCAUACCGCGUGGGUGAAGAAGGCCUUCGGGUUGUAAAGCCCUUUUGUUGGGAAAGAAAAGCAGCAGGUUAAUACCCCGCUGUUCUGACGGUACCCAAAGAAUAAGCACCGGCUAACUUCGUG
rnacentral:rRNA from 1 species